rfam:Schistocephalus solidus strain NST_G2 genome assembly, scaffold: SSLN_scaffold0007087
GGCCUCGUAGCUCAGUUGGCUAGAGCGUUGGCUGUACUAAAGCCUCUCCCUUGCUGGUGUGGGUUCGAAUCCCACCGAGGCCA